rnacentral:rRNA from 1 species
GACGAACGCUGGCGGCAUGCCUAACACAUGCAAGUCGAGCGAGCUGAUUCCUUCGGGAUGAAGCUAGCGGCGGACGGGUGAGUAACACGUGGGCAACCUGCCUCAUAGAGGGGAAUAGCCUUCCGAAAGGAAGAUUAAUACCGCAUAAGAUUGCAUCUUCGCAUGAAGAAGCAAUUAAAGGAGCAAUCCGCUAUGAGAUGGGCCCGCGGCGCAUUAGCUAGUUGGUGAGGUAACGGCUCACCAAGGCGACGAUGCGUAGCCGACCUGAGAGGGUGAUCGGCCACAUUGGGACUGAGACACGGCCCAGACUCCUACGGGAGGCAGCAGUGGGGAAUAUUGCACAAUGGGGGAAACCCUGAUGCAGCAAUGCCGCGUGAGUGAUGACGGCCUUCGGGUUGUAAAGCUCUGUCUUCGGGGACGAUAAUGACGGUACCCGAGGAGGAAGCCACGGCUAACUACGUGCCAGCAGCCGCCGUAA